rnacentral:tRNA from 1 species
GCAGGCGUGGCGGAACUGGCAGACGCGUUAGACUUAGGAUCUAGUGGGCAGCCCCCGUGAGAGUUCGACUCUCUCCGCCUGCACCA